AUUGAACGCUGGCGGCAGGCUUAACACAUGCAAGUCGAGCGGAGAGAGGUAGCUUGCUACUGAUCUUAGCGGCGGACGGGUGAGUAAUGCUUAGGAAUCUGCCUAUUAGUGGGGGACAACAUUUCGAAAGGAAUGCUAAUACCGCAUACGUCCUACGGGAGAAAGCAGGGGAUCUUCGGACCUUGCGCUAAUAGAUGAGCCUAAGUCGGAUUAGCUAGUUGGUGGGGUAAAGGCCUACCAAGGCGACGAUCUGUAGCGGAUCUGAGAGGAUGAUCCGCCACACUGGGACUGAGACACGGCCCAGACUCCUACGGGAGGCAGCAGUGGGGAAUAUUGGACAAUGGGCGCAAGCCUGAUCCAGCCAUGCCGCGUGUGUGAAGAAGGCCUUAUGGUUGUAAAGCACUUUAAGCGAGGAGGAGGCUACUUUAGUUAAUACCUAGAGAUAGUGGACGUUACUCGCAGAAUAAGCACCGGCUAACUCUGUGCCAGCCGCCUCCGUAAGAC
rnacentral:rRNA from 1 species